AUGCCUUAAUGGCGAAGGUCCGCUCAAGUAACGGCUGGGAGUCGGCGAUUCAGGUAUGGGAAUCGCCGAUCCAGAGGUUCAGUCGCCGACUCCCCAUGAGCCUAGUGGCAGCCUACCAGAGCUGUCCACGAGGCCUAGAGUUGGCGAUUCCCCCCUGGAGUCGGCGACUUGGUAGUCCCAAUCGGCGACUCCCAAGUGUUAACUUGAGCUCUUGACGUAGACACGUGCUCCGCACCGUGG
rnacentral:lncRNA from 1 species